ensembl:lncRNA
AGUGAAUUUGGAUUGGGUGUCUGCAUUUCAGCCGGAAGCCUCUCCAAGGAGGAAAGAGCUCAAGGGUCCUUUGCCUCUCAGCUGGUGUCACUUCAUGCUGCAGUGAGUGAACUUAAAGAAGUUUGGAAGUUUAUUCUUCCAUCUGCAGGUUCUUCAGUGCUACUGAGGCAGAGCUGAUCCAUUAGAGAGCUGGUCAUCCCAUGGUGCCCAGUCUUAUAGCUAGCCCUGGUCAUCCUCCCUCUCCUACUCCAGUGCCUUCAGCAAUACCCUAUGAGAACAGAACCAGAGCCUACUCUCAGUGUUAGUCCCCAAAACCUUAAAUAAUCCUCAUGAAAGACCAUCUCUCCUGAUGCCCACAUCUUCACAUACCAUGCAUUCAGGUGGAAGACCAGCUGGAGAGGCAGAAGGGACUUCUUUAAAAGGAAAGGCUCUGUGAUUUUUUUUCAGUCAGCACUGUUAUCCAGGAGCAAGAGAUGGAAGUUGCUUGUUCAACGCUCUUCUGGGCUUGUGGCCUGUGAGUUAUAACUGCAAUUGGUCAUGAUGUCAUUUUUAGCCAUAUUCUGUAAUCAUGCAGAAUAAGUCCCUCAAUUACUGUCUUAUGUAACAUACUGUUUUUUCUAUGAUGAUAAAUCUGGAAGUUGGCCAGUCUGAAAUGUGAAAUGCCAGGGUUUAUUCUCCAAGAAUUUCUAUACCCCUAAUUCUAAUCUUCACAGAAUCUCCUAUCACUUCAAAAAUAAUUUAUAUAUCUUUUUCAGGAUCUCAGUCAUCUCUUUAAAAUUCAUCUAUAAAGAUAACUUUUUAUUCUGUUAUUCUUAUAAAAACAAGACUUCCUGGUGGUCCAUGGAGGGUGAAUAGAUGUUCAUUUUGGGAGCUGUCAUGUCACAUCAAACCAAUUCCAUGCCAGUUCCCCUUGUGAUGCUCCUACAGGCAAGGCAGCCUGUGUCUCUAUUGGAGGAAAACAGAGGAAAGGGUUUAAGGUUAGAAUAUAUCAAUAGUUUAUAAAUGUUAUUUUUUUCCACAUAAAUGGUGUAUUUUUUUCAUAUGUAAUACAGUUAUGACUAAGAGAUGUUGUGUUUAGGUGAAAUGAGAAAUCAUGGCCCAUAAUGUCAAGGAAAAAAAGCAAAUUGUCCAAAGAUCAGUAUAAAAUUGUCUACAUUGUGCAAAGCGCAUGGAGCCUGUCAUCCUUCAUUAUUCAUUAUCUUUUCUUUAUCUAUUGUUGAAAUUAUUUUACAUUAAAAGAUUUUGUAGAAAGUAAUGUAGCUUUCCAUUGCCUUGUCCCUAUCACAUACAU